AGCGGAAUAGCGCAGUGGUAGCGCGCCGGGCUCAUACCCCGGAGGUCGGCGGUUCAAAUCCGUCUUCCGCAACCA
rnacentral:tRNA from 1 species